rnacentral:rRNA from 1 species
AUGGUCGAAGGCUCGGAGGCGGACAUCUCUAAUCUUAAGUUCCUUCUCCUCUGCUUCCAACAAAUGUCUGGCCUCAAGAUCAACUUCGACAAGGGUGAUGUGAUGGUGAUGGGAUACUCUUCGGCGGAGUGCCUGGACAUUGCCAACCGGCUCAACUGCCGCCUGGGCUCCUUCCCCACGACAUACUUGGGAACACCCAUUAGUGACUCUAGGCUUACCGUUGCUGACUUGCGUCCGAUCGUGGCCAAGUUGCAAACGCGCAUAGAGCCAUGGCAGGGUAGGUGGCUGUCGAAGGCGGCUCGGACGAUUCUCAUCAACUCCUCCCUCUCCAGCUUCCUCUUGUUCCUUAUGAGCUUCUACAGCCUUCACGAGACUCUGCACCAUGAGAUCGCCAAAGUCCAGUCUCGUUUCUAUUGGGCAGGCGAUAACAAUAAGCACAAAUACCAUAUGGUUAACUGGCCAGACAUUUGCAAGCCUCGGGAACAAGGAGGCCUCGGUAUCAUGUGCUCUAAGCGCAUGAAUAUUGCCCUCUUAUCCCGCUGGCUCUGGCGCAUUUCGCAAGGUCACGGUGUCCUCUGGUUAGACAUCAUCCAGAACAAGUACCUGCGUGGGCAACCCCCAGCCUUCUGUCAGAGAUCUGGCGGUUCCCAGUUCUGGCAGUCGGUCGUCCAACUUCUCCCAGUCCUCCACAUUGAGACCUCCAUCUCGGUUGGAUCUGGGGCUGCGACUUUGUUCUGGUUUGACCGAUGGGCAGGAGACACCCCCUUCACUGCGCGCUUCCCCGACCUCUUCUCUAUCCCCGUCGACCCUUUGAUCUCAGUGGAGAGGGCCCUUAUCGACUUAGGGCGCCUCGCAUUCCGGAGGCCAUUUGGGCCUCCAGACUUCGCCGCCUAG